rnacentral:rRNA from 1 species
UACAGAGGGUGCAAGCGUUAAUCGGAAUUACUGGGCGUAAAGCGCACGUAGGCGGUUUUUUAAGUCAGAUGUGAAAGCCCCGGGCUCAACCUGGGAAUUGCAUUUGAAACUGGGGAACUAGAGUGUGUGAGAGGGGGGUAGAAUUCCAAGUGUAGCGGUGAAAUGCGUAGAGAUUUGGAGGAAUACCAGUGGCGAAGGCGGCCCCCUGGCACGAUACUGACGCUCAGGUGCGAAAGCGUGGGGAGCAAACAGG